UAGGGAAUCUUCGGCAAUGGGGGGAACCCUGACCGAGCAACGCCGCGUGAGUGAAGAAGGCUUUCGGAUCGUAAAGCUCUGUUGUUAAGGAAGAACGAGUGUGAGAAUGGAAAGCUCAUGCUGUGCGGGUACUUAACCAGAAAGGGACGGCUAACUACGUGCCAGCAGCCGCGGUAAUACGUAGGUCCCGAGAGUUGUCCGGAUUUAUUGGGCGUAAAGCGAGCGCGGGCGGUUAGAUAAGUCUGAAGUUAAAGGCAGUGGCUCAACCAUUGUAGGCUUUGGAAACUGUUUAACUUGAGUGCAGAAGGGGAGAGUGGAAUUCCAUGUGUAGCGGUGAAAUGCGUAGAUAUAUGGAGGAACACCGGUGGCGAAAGCGGCUCUCUGGUCUGUAACUGACGCUGAGGCUCGAAAGCGUGGGGAGCGAACAGG
rnacentral:rRNA from 1 species